rnacentral:rRNA from 1 species
AGCAGCCGCGGUAAUUCCAGCUCCAAUAGCGUAUAUUAAAGUUGUUGCAGUUAAAAAGCUCGUAGUUGAAUUUCGGGAUCAGUUCGCUGGUCGUGCCUCUGGUAUGUACUGGUGUUACUGGUUCCUCCCUUCUGACGAACUGUCAUGUCAUUAAUUUGGUGUGGCGGGGAAUCAGGACUGUUACUUUGAAAAAUUAGAGUGUUUAAAGCAGGCUCGCGCUUGAAUACAUUAGCAUGGAAUAAUGAAAUAGGACGUUCGAUCCUAUUUUGUUGGUUUCUAGGAUUGACGUAAUGAUUAAUAGGGAUAGUUGGGGGCAUUAGUAUUCAAUUGUCAGAGGUGAAAUUCUUGGAUUUAUUGAAGACUAACUACUGCGAAAGCAUUUGCCAAGGAUGUUUUCAUUAAUCAAGAACGAAAGUUAGGGGAUCGAAGACGAUCAGAUACCGUCGUAGUCUUAACCAUAAACUAUGCCGACUAGGGAUCGGAUGAUGUUAAUUUUUUAAUGUACUCAUUCGGUACCG